GGGAGCAUCGCCGCGGCGAUAGAAAACCUUUGGGCUUGGGUAGCGUUUAAACCCUUGAGGUGCUGCUGGAAAGCGAUUCGGGUCACAAAUGAACUGUCUGCCAACGUAGAGAAGUGUCCGUGGAAUCCUGGAAGUGAUGAGGGUCACGAAUGGCAUUUUCUGGGAGCUGAAACAGAACUUCGGAAAAUCUGGAAACUUCGGAAACUACCUACCUAUGAAGAACAUGUUCACAUAUAAGCUUAGAGCACAAUCCAUGUUUCUUCAACAACUGAGGAUUCAUUUUGAAUAUUUUCAAAUACAUAAAACUCCAGGUAUAACUCCAAACAAAACAUGAUGAAAGGAGACAUUUGGAUAAGCCGUGGUAUGAUAACAUCACACUGAACACCAUCUGCUGUGAACACUUCAGCUUUCUGCAGUGACCAGAUGAAGGAAAUGUGGUUCAUUGUGCUGCUUCAGUGGUUAAUUCUAGAAAGCUUUUGCUAAACUUUCAUCCAAAAUAGGAAGAACUUAUCUCCCAUGUGUUGAAGAAUGUUGCCAUCCUGGGGGUAACAUUGCCCUUUUUAUCUCCGGGAAAGAAGUUUCCCUCUUGCUAAUGGCAAAGCAGUCAACACUUACCUCCAAACUUCUGCACUGAACUCUUUACUCAUAUAGGACAUACUAAUUU